AGAGGCAAGUCUGGUAGGCCCAGAAGUAAGUCCAAGAUACAUGAAGACCAAAAGGUGAAGAACCAAAACAAAUUUUCCAUGGCAUAAAGCUCAAGCCAUAUCAAGACUCACUACUCAGUGCUUAGUACUCUGAAGAGAUAAUCAAAGACCCAAUUCAGCUCAAGCCAUAUCAAGACUCACUACUCAGUGCUUAGUACUCUGAAGAGAUAAUCAAAGACCCAAAAAAGCUUCUGGCUUGCUGUGUUGACACUUCUUUUUCAUCAAAAUUAUUCAGCUCAAGCCA